GGAUGGUGGGGUGUGAGGGGACACCGGGGUGUGGGGGAUACCGGGGUGUGAGGGGUUAACGGGGUGUGAGGUGACACCAAGGCCCUGAGGGGACACCGCGGUGUGGGGGAACUCCAAGCUUUCAUGGGACACCGGGGCUGUCAGGGGACAUAGUGGCUCUGAGGGGACACAGGUGGCAACAAGGCUGUGCUGAACUGCCUCACUUCACUGCCACGCCCCUGCACAACCUCUUCAGUUCCUGUAAUUCCCACAUCCCAUGCAGCAUAUCCGACAGGUACCAAAGCCAGGUUUAGGAGUCCAGUGUUUCCUGGAUCCUUUGGAGCCCUUCCUAGAAAUCAGCCUGGCCUUUGCCACCUCUCCUCUGGUGUUGGGAAGGUCAGGGACCUGCUGCCUGUGUCCUGCUGCAGGGUCUGCCCUGAGCAUGUGCCAGCCCAGUAGUUUUUCAGCAGAGUUCCCACUUCUGAUGUGUUUGCAAAAAUACACUGCUGUUAAUUCUUA